rnacentral:rRNA from 1 species
AGCGAACGCUGGCGGCAUGCCUAACACAUGCAAGUCGAACGAGACCUUCGGGUCUAGUUGCGCACGGGUGCGUAACGCGUGGGAACCUGCCCUUAGGUUCGGAAUAACUCCCCGAAAGGGGUGCUAAUACCGGAUAAUGUCUUCGGACCAAAGAUUUAUCGCCUUUGGAUGGGCCCGCGUUGGAUUAGCUAGUUGGUAGGGUAAAAGCCUACCAAGGCGACGAUCCAUAGCUGGUCUGAGAGGAUGAUCAGCCACACUGGGACUGAGACACGGCCCAGACUCCUACGGAAGGCAGCAGUGGGGAAUAUUGGAGAAUGGGCGAAAGCCUGAUCCAGCAAUGCCGCGUGAGUGAUGAAGGCCUUAGGGUUGUAAAGCUCUUUUACCCGGGAUGAUAAUGACAGUACCGGGAGAAUAAGCUCCGGCUAACUCCGUG